AUGAAGAACGUAGCGAAAUGCGAUAAGUAAUGUGAAUUGCAGAAUUCAGUGAAUCAUCGAAUCUUUGAACGCACAUUGCGCCCGCCAGUAUUCUGGCGGGCAUGCCUGUCCGAGCGUCAUUUCAACCCUCGAACCCCUCCGGGGGGUCGGCGUUGGGGAUCGGCACUUACCUGCCGGCCCCGAAAUACAGUGGCGGUCUCGCCGCAGCCUCUCCUGCGCAGUAGUUUGCACACUCGCACCGGGAGCGCGGCGCGUCCACGGCCGUAAAACAACCCAAACUUCUGAAAUGUUGACCUCGGAUCAGGUAGGAAUACCCGCUGAACUUAAGCAUAUCAAUAAGCGGAGGA
rnacentral:misc_RNA from 1 species